UGGCUCUCGCAUCGAUGAAGAACGCAGCGAAAUGCGAUAAGUAAUGUGAAUUGCAGAAUUCAGUGAAUCAUCGAAUCUUUGAACGCACCUUGCGCUCCUUGGUAUUCCGAGGAGCAUGCCUGUUUGAGUGUCAUGUAAUCUUCAACCUCUCGGGGCUUUAUUGACUCGUAGAGGCUUGGACUUGGGAGUUCUGUCGGGCCCUUCUUUGGGGUCGACUCUCCUUAAAUGCAUUAGCUAGACUGAUAUAUAUUGGGUCUUCAGGCGUGUGAUAAACAUCAUCAUGUCUGUUGAUCUCAAAACAAAGUCGAGCUUCUAAUCGUCCUUUGGGACAAUCUUUAUUGACAAUCUGGCCUCAAAUCAGGUAGGACUACCCGCUGA
rnacentral:misc_RNA from 1 species